rnacentral:rRNA from 1 species
AUUGAACGCUGGCGGCAGGCCUAACACAUGCAAGUCGAGCGAGCGGCGGACGGGUGAGUACUGUAUGGGGACUGCCCGAUAGAGGGGGAUAACUACAGGAAACGGUGGCUAAUACCGAAUACUGUCGGAUAACCCAUAUGGGAUUAUCUAGUAGGGAAGGUAAUGGCUUACCUAGGCGACGAUCCCUAGCUGGUCUGAGAGGAUGAUCAGCCACACUGGGACUGAGACACGGCCCAGACUCCUACGGAGGCAGCAGUGGGGAAUAUUGCACAAGGGGCGCAAGCCUGAUGCAGCCAUGCCGCGGGUAUGAAUAAGGCCCUAGGGUUGUAAAGUACUUUCAGUCGGGAGGCGUUACCGACAGAAGAAGCACCGGCUAACUCCGUGCCAGCAGCCGCGGUAAUUC